rnacentral:rRNA from 1 species
CCUACGGGUGGCAGCAGUGAGGAAUAUUGGUCAAUGGACGAGAGUCUGAACCAGCCAAGUAGCGUGAAGGAUGACUGCCCUAUGGGUUGUAAACUUCUUUUAUAAAGGAAUAAAACGAGGCACGUGUGCCUUUUUGCAUGUACUUUAUGAAUAAGGAUCGGCUAAAUCCGUGCCAGCAGCCGCGGUAAUACGGAGGAUCCGAGCGUUAUCCGGAUUUAUUGGGUUUAAAGGGAGCGUAGAUGGGUUGUUAAGUCAGUUGUGAAAGUUUGCGGCUCAACCGUAAAAUUGCAAUUGAUACUGGCAGUCGUGAGUACAGUUGAGGUAGGCGGAAUUCGUGGUGUAGCGGUGAAAUGCUUAGAUAUCACGAAGAACCCCGAUUGCGAAGGCAGCUUACUAAACUGUGACUGACAUUGAUGCUCGAAAGUGUGGGUAUCAAACAGGAUUAGAUACCCUGGUAGUC